ACAAAAUUUUGACAUCUUGUGACCACCCUGGAGACAGGGUUUCCCUUCGGGGCAGAGUGACAGGUGGUGCAUGGUUGUCGUCAGCUCGUGUCGUGAGAUGUUGGGUUAAGUCCCGCAACGAGCGCAACCCUUAUCACUAGUUGCCAGCAUUCAGUUGGGCACUCUAGUGAGACUGCCGGUGACAAACCGGAGGAAGGUGGGGAUGACGUCAAAUCAUCAUGCCCCUUAUGAUUUGGGCUACACACGUGCUACAAUGGACAGGAACAAAGGGCAGCUACGCCGCGAGGCCAAGCGAAUCCCAUAAAACUGUUCUCAGUUCGGAUUGGAGUCUGCAACUCGACUCCAUGAAGCUGGAAUCGCUAGUAAUCGUGGAUCAGAAUGCCACGGUGAAUACGUUCCCGGGUCUUGUACACACCGCCCGUCACACCACGAAAGUCGGUAACACCUGAAGCCGGUGGGCCAACCUCUUGGAGGCAGCCGUCGAA
rnacentral:rRNA from 1 species